rnacentral:rRNA from 1 species
UACAGAGGUCCCAAGCGUUGUUCGGAUUCAUUGGGCGUAAAGGGUGCGUAGGUGGCGUCGUAAGUCGGGCGUGAAAUCUCGGGGCUUAACUCCGAAACUGCAUUCGAUACUGCGGUGCUUGAGGACUGGAGAGGAGACUGGAAUUUACGGUGUAGCAGUGAAAUUCGUAGAUAUUAGGAAGAACACCAGUGGCGAAGGCGGCUCACUGGUCCGGUACUGACGCUGAGGUGCGAAAGCGUGGGGAGCAAACAGG